rnacentral:misc_RNA from 1 species
GAUGAAGAACGCAGCGAAAUGCGAUAAGUAAUGUGAAUUGCAGAAUUCAGUGAAUCAUCGAAUCUUUGAACGCACCUUGCGCUCUUUGGUAUUCCGAAGAGCAUGCCUGUUUGAGUGUCAUGAAAAUAUCAACCUUGACUUGGGUUUUGUGCUCUAGUCUCGGCUUGGAAUUGGGUGCUUGCCGCUUUUACGAGCGGCUCACCUUAAAUGUAUUAGCUGGAUCUGUCUUUGAGACUUGGUUUGACUUGGCGUAAUAAGUAUUUCGCUAAGGACAUUCUUCGGAGUGGCCUCGUUUCUAGGACGCUUGUCCGCUUUCCAAUACAAGUUCCACCUCGUGGACAUGACUUUUUAUUAUCUGGCCUCAAAUCAGGUAGGACUACCCGCUGAACUUAAGCAUAUCAUAAGCGGAGGA